rnacentral:rRNA from 1 species
UGAGUAAUGUCUGGGAAACUGCCUGAUGGAGGGGGAUAACUACUGGAAACGGUAGCUAAUACCGCAUAACGUCGCAAGACCAAAGAGGGGGACCUUCGGGCCUCUUGCCAUCAGAUGUGCCCAGAUGGGAUUAGCUAGUAGGUGGGGUAAUGGCUCACCUAGGCGACGAUCCCUAGCUGGUCUGAGAGGAUGACCAGCCACACUGGAACUGAGACACGGUCCAGACUCCUACGGGAGGCAGCAGUGGGGAAUAUUGCACAAUGGGCGCAAGCCUGAUGCAGCCAUGCCGCGUGUGUGAAGAAGGCCUUCGGGUUGUAAAGCACUUUCAGCGAGGAGGAAGGUGGUGAACUUAAUACGUUCAUCAAUUGACGUUACUCGCAGAAGAAGCACCGGCUAACUCCGUACCAGCAGCCGCGGUAAUACGGAGGGUGCAAGCGUUAAUCGGAAUUACUGGGCGUAAAGCGCACGCAGGCGGUUUGUUAAGUCAGAUGUGAAAUCCCCGGG